rnacentral:tmRNA from 2 species
GGGGAUGUUUGGUUUCGACAGGGUCGUAUAUCAGGUAGGUGCGUGCCGAGGUGCCCGAGGCCUCGUAAAAACGGGCAACCAAGAACUGCGGAAUCUGAUUUCGCUUACGCUGCCUAAGUCACUGACCUCUAGGUAGCGCGUCUGUCCGGUCUUUCGCCUUUCGGGACCGGGGACAGGCGUCAUUCAGGAAGGACGCGGUGACCUAGUCCGCCGAAGCGCGGUCACCAAAGGCAGUUCGGCUCACUGCAACGGGAUCCCGUCGGUAGGAGCCCGCGGCAGCACAUAAAAUGCCGACUACGCACGUAGGAUGCUGCCGGUUCGCGGUUCUGGACGGGGGUUCGACUCCCCCCAUCUCCACCA